GGUUGCUAUUUGAGAGCAUUAUUGUUCAGCUAAAUUAAGAAAAAAUUAAGGUUUUUUUAAAAAAUAAAUAUAUUAUUGGUAAAUGUAAUAUGGUUGUGUGAUGUACAGUGUGUAAUGGAAAACGUUCAAGGUUUUCAACCCAGGCACAUUAUGAGGUUCAAACAUUUUGAAGCUGACACCUUCAUGUUCUACUCUGGUUUAGUGAUAUCUGAACAUCCUAACUGUGUGCUUUUUCACUAAAAACCCCAGUUGACACAAUUUAGAAUAUCUUUACAACCUUGCAAUUGGUGUUUCCUUUUUUUUUAUUUUAAUAAGGACCAAUAACAAAACCAUUAGGUUGCCACCAUUAGCAAAUCACUACAAUAGAACUUGUGUUGGAUCAUGUAUAACUACUA